rnacentral:tRNA from 1 species
UCCUUUGUGGCUUAGCUGGUAAAGAAUCCACCUGCAAUGUGGGAGACCUGGGUUCAAUCCCUGGGUUGGGAA